rnacentral:rRNA from 1 species
GUCGAGCGGUAACAGGGGUAGCUUGCUACCCGCUGACGAGCGGCGGACGGGUGAGUAAUGCAUAGGAAUCUGCCCGAUAGUGCCGGAUAACCUGGGGAAACCCAGGCUAAUACCGCAUACGUCCUACGGGAGAAAGCCGGCUCCGGCUCCCGCUAUUGGAUGAGCCUAUGUCGGAUUAGCUAGUUGGUGAGGUAAAGGCUCACCAAGGCGACGAUCCGUAGCUGGUCUGAGAGGAUGAUCAGCCACAUCGGGACUGAGACACGGCCCGAACUCCUACGGGAGGCAGCAGUGGGGAAUAUUGGACAAUGGGCGAAAGCCUGAUCCAGCCAUGCCGCGUGUGUGAAGAAGGCCCUCGGGUUGUAAAGCACUCCCAGCGAGGAAGAACGCCUAGUGGUUAAUACCCAUUAGCCAAGACAUCACUCGCAGAAGAAGCACCGGCUAACUCCGUGCCAGCAGCCGCGGUAAUACGGAGGGUGCAAGCGUUAAUCGGAAUUACUGGGCGUAAAGCGCGCGUAGGUGGCUUGAUAAGCCGGUUGUGAAAGCCCCGGGCUCAACCUGGGAACGGCAUCCGGAACUGUCAAGCUAGAGUGCAGGAGAGGAAGGUAGAAUUCCCGGUGUAGCGGUGAAAUGCGUAGAGAUCGGGAGGAAUACCAGUGGCGAAGGCGGCCUUCUGGACUGACACUGACACUGAGGUGCGAAAGCGUGGGUAGCAAACAGGAUUAGAUACCCUGGUAGUCCACGCCGUAAACGAUGUCGACCAGCCGUUGGGUGCCUAGCGCACUUUGUGGCGAAGUUAACGCGAUAAGUCGACCGCCUGGGGAGUACGGCCGCAAGGUUAAAACUCAAAUGAAUUGACGGCCGCCCGCACAAGCGGUGGAGCAUGUGGUUUAACCCGAUGCAACGCGAAGAACCUUACCUACUCCCGACAUCCUGCGAACUUGUGAGAGAUCACUUGGUGCCUUCCCGAACGCAGAGACAGGUGCUGCAUGGCUGUCG